GGUUCAUUCAAAUUUCUUCCCUAUCAACUUUCGAUGGUAGGAUAGUGGCCUACCAUGGUUUCAACGGGUAACGGGGAAUUAGGGUUCUAUUCCGGAGAAGGAGCCUGAGAAACGGCUACUACAUCCAAGGAAGGCAGCAGGCGCGCAAAUUACCCAAUCCCGACCGGGGAGGUAGUGACAAUAAAUACUGAUACAGGGCUCUUUUGAGUCUUGUAAUGGGAAUGAGUACAAUUUAAAUCUCUUAACGAGGAACAAUUGGAGGGCAAGUCUGGUGCCAGCAGCCGCGGUAAUUCCAGCUCCAAUAGCGUAUAUUAAAGUUGUAGCAGUUAAAAAGCUCGUAGUUG
rnacentral:rRNA from 1 species